rnacentral:rRNA from 1 species
CCUACGGGUGGCAGCAGUGGGGAAUAUUGGACAAUGGGGGGAACCCUGAUCCAGCGACGCCGCGUGAGUGAAGAAGUAUUUCGGUAUGUAAAGCUCUAUCAGCAGGGAAGAAAGGAAUGCCGGUACCUGACUAAGAAGCCCCGGUUAACUACGUGCCAGCAGCCGCGGGAAUACGUAGGGGGCAAGCGUUAUCCGGAUUUACGGGGUGUAAGGGGAGCGUAGACGGUUACGCAAGUCUGGAGGUAAAGGCGGGGGCCCAACCCCCGGACUGCUUUGGAAACUGUAUAACUGGAGUGCAGGAGAGGUAAGUGGAAUUCCUAGUGUAGCGGUGAAAUGCGUAGAUAUUAGGAGGAACACCAGUGGCGAAGGCGGCUUACUGGACUGUAACUGACGUUGAGGCUCGAAAGCGUGGGGAGCAAACAGGAUUAGAUACCCCAGUAGUC